ACAAAUCCAAUAAUUGUGGGGGAACUUUUGGGUUCUUCUGCAAAUAUUAAUCCGCCGGCUUUCCAAAGCUGGCUGUGAUAUAAAUGCGUGUUAUGUUGACAAUGUGUGUGUAAUAAUUAAUAUUGA
rnacentral:misc_RNA from 1 species